rnacentral:rRNA from 1 species
UACAGAGGUGCCAAGCGUUGUUCGGAUUUACUGGGCGUAAAGGGUGCGUAGGUGGCAUGGUAAGUCAAAUGUGAAAUCCUGCAGCUUAACUGUAGAAUAGCAUUCGAAACUACCAAGCUCGAGGGCUGGAGAGGAGAUCGGAAUUCUCGGUGUAGCAGUGAAAUGCGUAGAUAUCGAGAGGAACACCAGUGGCGAAAGCGGAUCUCUGGACAGUCUCUGACACUGAGGAGCGAAAGCGUGGGGAGCGAACAGG